UUGAAGUUUUUAUAACUACAACUAAAAAGAACAGGCAUUUUUAUCGACUCUAAAUUUACCAUUUACAAUUUUCAUUAAAUUAUUUUUAUAUGCCAUUAGGUAUAUUU